rnacentral:rRNA from 1 species
GACAAACGCUGGCGGCGUGCCUAACACAUGCAAGUCGAACGGUCCCCUUCGGGGGAUAGUGGCGAACGGGUGAGUAACACGUAGGUGACCUGCCCUGUAGUGGGGAAUAACUGCACGAAAGGGUGGCUAAUACCGCAUGAGUUCUCCUGCGCGGGCAGGAGAAGAAAGCUCCGCAAGGGGCGCUACAGGAGGGGCCUGCGGCGGAUUAGCCAGUUGGCGGGGUAAAGGCCCACCAAGGCGACGACGGGUAGCCGGCCUGAGAGGGCGACCGGCCACA